GCACAGAGGUGGAGUCUAUCAUCCUUGACUGGCCACAUGUGUUUGGUUCUUAGCUUGUUUCUUCUAUCUAGCUAAAGCUAACUGCUAGUUGCUAACCUUCUACAUAGUAGAGGGGACCAAAGACCCAACUACUGAUGUACAGAUAUAGCUAAACAAGUUUGUGGAAGCCAGCAAUAAUUAUGGAACACUUGCCAGUGAUUCUCAAGAAGAGUCGUCCAUACCUCACAGCCUGCUCAGAGGGGUCAAAUAGAGCAGUGUGCCCCAGGGGAAAGCUGCUGUGUUUCCUGGACAGCUCCAAUAAUCUUCAAGUCCACUCACUUCAUGGGCACGAUGAAAGUACCUCUGUUGACGGAAUGAACUUUGCUGGGUUUCACUGGGUGGCUGCCAUUGAUACUGGACAAGAUUGUGUUAUGGACGAAGGCUCUCAACAGAGGAGUGACCUGCUAGCCAUCACACCUGACCUCUGUUUACACUGGUACAGCGUAUGUGAAGGGGGUGGAGCUCGUGAGGGGAGUGGAGCUCGUGAGGAGGAGGGGAUGAAGAUUGAACAGUUGGCUACACUCUCUAAGGACGACCUCCUUUCUGAGCUCAAGAAACUAAAAUUCUCUGACUCCAUUGACACAGUGCAAGCCAUUGGCUCGUACAACAAUCGUGUCCUCUUACUAGUCAACUCUGAUCUCGUCUGUACUGUAACCUUCGACCCUGAAUUCAGUCGUAUGAUCGUACUGCGCUGUCUGAGCAUUGAACUGUCCACGGACGCAUACGCAGACAGCUCCCUCCCUCAGUGGGUGGGGCCUAUCGUCAACGUUACCUUUGUCCGCCCCCUGAUGUUUGCUCUCACUCAAGAUGGCCUUGUCUUUGUGUACAACAUGAUGACCUCCCAGUGUAUUGGAGUAGUCUAUGCAAUAGCCUACAGUCAGUACCAGUGCUCAAGACAGGCUGAUUCUGAAGAGCUGUUGUCAUCGAUAUCUACAGCAAGUUUCAAGUAUGCAGCCGUGUCUCCGGACCUAGUCCACCUUGCUGCAGCCACUGAAGACAACAACAUUGUCUUGAUCAAUCUGCCAGACUACUUCCAGAUGUUUCCUGGUCACUACAACUCCCAGUUCACCCGCUCGUAUUUGCUGAGUCAGCGUAGUCGUGUCAUCGCCCCUGUACAUCAGUCCACCAUUGAACAAGAGGAGGAAGGAGAUCGACUCAAAUAUGGCGGCUAUUCGGACAAGAAUCAGACCGAGCCUUAUCUAGGACUAUAUCACGGCUUCUAUGGACACACGAAUCGUUUGCAGAGACUCAAUAAUCUCAUAGAGGACUUUCAACCGUCUCAGUCGCAAACUUUGAACUUUUACAAGGCAUCUCAUUUCGAAAGCUCCUCUACUUUUGUAACAAAACGCAAUCGAAUGCUAAAACUUCCCGGGGUUAAAAAUGCCGUCAGUCAGAUUGCAGAGAUAGAGCCACUGAUGACGUCGAGGAAGCCGUGGUUUAAAGAACCUGUCUUGCAUUCCGUGGAGAGUAUGUCUAAGAGCAACUUCAAUGUUAAUUUUGUCACGGGAAUGAGCAAAUCGAUUGCCAGUCGGCAGCAGUCUCCACUUGUUUCCAAUCUUGAAGAAGCUCUCUCUCCGUCAAAAUAUUACUAUGGUCAUUUGUGCCUCUUGCCGGCCCCUCCCACUUCUGAUUCAUGUCUCGUGAGUGUUGAGUUUUCGUCCAAAUUGGUAGUGUGUUACUAUGGCAGCGAUAAAGUGGAAGCAGUAAAGAAGGAAGAGGAGACGUCUCCGAUAGUGGGUGGAGCUCGAGUGAUGGUCAACACCCUCGUCAUUUACCACACUGACAAGCAGACAUAUUCAAUAUCAAGGCUGGUGCAACCCAGCUGGCUUGUAUUGCCUGCCAAAUCCGACCAGCUGCUGUAUCUGGCCAAUUCUCAGAUGCUAGCUGUCACAACCUUCGACCUUUCACAAGAAGAGUUCAUUGCCAAGGUGCUGAUGUACGGUAGUGCCAGUGUGGCCGAGGAACUGUGUCACCUGAAUCGCUGGGACAAGUGCUCACUACCUGUGAACGCCCUCGAGACAGCCCUGGAGCUGAGGCAACUCGACACUCUGGCAUUCUUCCUCAGGAGCAGAGACACCGGAUCUAGUGAGGGUGAUGGAGGUACGCAGACACCUACAGAUGAGACCACACCCACUCUCCCUCCUCUCCCCCCGGAACAACUGGACACUGUAGUACAGCUGUUGAUAGGGGCCAUUCGUCGUAACUAUGUGGAGGAGCACUAUUGUCAGUUUGCCAGUCAGCUGCUCCUCAUGACCCUCGGCUUCCUCACACGCAUCAUCCGGACCCAGGUCAUACUUGAGGCAGAGGAGGGAAAGACUGAGACAGAGCACGCAACAGGCGGUGAGAGUGUUGUUGAAGAAAACUCCACCAUGUUUGGCCCGAGUGUGUCUCUGAUGGAUCUCACUGGCUAUAUAGACCAACUGAGAGCAUUCCUACCCAAGGCAGAGAAGAGUAAUCUGUCCACCGGGAGUGCGGGGGUGGUGGGGAAGGGGGCGGGGCCUAUGACGUACGUGGAUCAGGCCCUCGUGAAAGCUUGGGACAAAAUGAGCACCAAGGAGGUGAUCAAGGACGCACUGUUGAAGAGCAGCCUCCCUCUGGCACAGACCUACCUCGUCCAUACCAGAACAAGUGGCAACGACAAAACGGAUGGGCGUGGCUUCACAAUGGACUCGAGUGGGUUCGGUCUCUCUGGUGCAGUGGAGGACCAGACAGUGAGGGAUGGUGAGGGACAUUACGAUGGCUCGCUCAGUCACAUGACCACCGUGGCCAUGGGGUUCGUGGUGGAGGCUCUGGACAGGAGGGACCUCCACACAGCCACCUCACUACUGAUGCAGACGGGCACUCCUGUGGCAGCUGGUCUGAAGCACAUCUGUUUCCACACUGUCAGCAGAAGCCUGAGGGAUUAUCUAGCGGAGGAGUUGUUGGCGUCCUCUUGGCUGCUGCCGACUGAGAUACAGGCUCUAGACUACCUACACACACUGGAGGCACUCUACCCCCUGCAGUCGUAUGACCACGCCCACUCUCUCUACUCCAAACACCACCCAAGGAAGAUGACGUUCCAGCCGACUGCCCUCCCUGCAAUGCCGGGUAUUGUGAGCAGGCCCACCCCCAUCCCCACCGUGGGCAACCUGCAAGAUGUCUACCCAGAGACCUUCGGAGGGGACUACCUUCUCUCCCGAGACUCCGCCUCCUCCAGCAGUGACGUGGGAGUGUGUGCCCCCUACCUGCAAGUAGGUGUAGCUGCCGUGAUGGAGUGGGACACACCCACACGAGAGAGGGUGCUCUUUGAGGGACUCGUGUUGACCUCAAAGACUGAUGGAUUGGAGGCUAGAAAGAUGGAAAGCAAAGAGCACGUGUUCCAGUAUCACGUCAGUCGCUCUGAUGUCACCAGUUCAUUGAGGUUCAUCAUGAGCAGUAUACCACCGCUGGAAAACCACACCCCAUGCCCCGCCCACAUUAUAGAGCUCUGUUCCAAGAUCCCUCACCCCACUCAGUAUCUCAAGACUUGUCUACGAAAUGAAUUGGCAAGACACGGUGUGUUUGUCCCUGAUGAUCUGCAGGACCUACCCUCUCUAUUGUACCGUCUUGGACAAGUCCACUCACUCUUCACACACCCACACCCCCUCACAAAGCUCACAGAAGACGAGGAGUGUGAGGAUGGUGGAGCUGUGAUCUCACUCGAGUCGUUUCACAGCGGUUUCCUGAAGUACCUUGUGGAGAACCGUUUUUACAGCUUUAUGUACCACUACCUUGACCAAUACAAUCUUGCUCUGGACAGUGGCUCCAUCUCUCUACUGGGGCUGGAUCAGGCAGAGGAGCCAUGGGUAGAGGUGUUGCUGCAGUACAGGAGGGCAGCCAUCCAUCAGAAUGAUCCUGAUGUGAUCUUCCAGGCCAGUCUCUCGUGUGGUCAUCUCCUCCUCUCCACGGGGAACGGAGGUCACAUGACAGUCAUGGGGAUGUUGAGUAAUGGCCGAACCCUCAUGGCCAUGGCUACUCUAAUGUUUGCACCAGUUCCACUGGAAGAAGCUAUGAACACGAGUAACUCUGGUCAGCCAUGGUUUGUGGACCCCCUAGCCCUGCGUCGGUCAGUGAGUGCCUACCCCUCCCUCCAGGCAGCACUGUUCCCACCACCACUCACCUCACUAAGCCCCUCACACUCUCAGGAUAUCUCAGUAUAUCAGCUGUUACAGGGGAAUGUACCGUUCAACAUCUCUCGGCUGUUCAAGUGGCAGAGUACCAAUAGAUCAGGACAUGAGGAGGGCACUGCUGAUUCAAGUGAGCUCCCUCAUUUUUCCUCCCCUGCUCUCACUGAAAAAUUCGCGUUCACUGAACAUCUAAACUUCGUUUACUACCUCCGCCGAGGGCAACCUUCGUUUGCUUUUGCUAAUUUUGUGGCAGCCAAAUUAAUUGGUCACUCGAACACUUCGAAAAGACUGGAUCGAGCGUCCUCUCGCGUAUAUCGACUGGCCAUGCUUGACUUCACUAACUCUCGACUGAUCUCCUCUUGUGUGGCCUUCAUGGAGAUGUGUGAGCGAGACUCCACCCACCUACGAGUCGACUCCCAGGCCGCCCUCCGCAUGGCCAGAUACUCUUCUGACAGCUCCGGAAAAGAAGUGCUGAAGGAAGAGAAUAAUGAUCCAUGUAGCUGCCAGAAAAUUGCUUCCCAGUUUGUUCAGCUACACUGUAACCCUGACAACACGAGCUUAGCCGGCUCUCUCCUCUCCCAGCUGGAAUCCUCCACACAUCACAUGAUCUCCUCUGGAGGAGUGGAACUGCACGGCCUAGAGGCAGAGGAGUGCUGGAGUCUUGUGCAAAGCUUCUGUCAGUGUCACCAGCUGCCACCAUCACUGGAGUUCAUCACAGUGUGUGCCAGGGAGGGACAAUGGCUGCCUCUUCUCUGUCACUCUCAGCUGUGCAGUAUACCACCUCAGAAGGUUCUGUUGAUAGUGGACAAGCACUUCUCGGACCUGUCUCUACGGGAGCACCUCCACUUGGCCGUGUCGUCAAUGGUUACCAGGGCUACCUCUCCGUCAUUAGAUCAUAUGGGUCGUGAGAGGUCAAAGUCCAGACGUCGCAGAAUAGCCACACCCACCAAGAACAGAGGUCAUUUGACGGAGAAUAUAGUGACAGCACGACGCGACCUCAGGGCAAAGUUCUACUCCAGGGUUGGCCUGAAAAGAGAUGCCACCCCCCAGGCUGACAGGGGACCCCCAGCUGAGGAGGAAGAGGGACCAGACAAACCCCCCGCAGAGAAACAAGAGUCUGAUGAGCAACCCACUCCAGUAUCACCACCCCCCACAGUCCCCCCCGCAGAGCCCUACAUCCCCAUAGAGGAGAGUGACCUCCCUGAGGAUCUGUUCUCAGCCCUACUCAAGUGCCAGGCUGACAAGACUCCAUGGAGAUCACUACUGGCCCACGCUAUUGCCUUGGAGAGACCAUUACUAGCUGUGUUAGCAGCUUGCUAUGAGAACACAUCAAUGGUGCCUUGUAUGUGUGUGUGGCUCUACUCCACUCUGGGAGAGACUGUCAUGAAGAGUGCAACACAACUGCUGGGAAUUGUCCCACAAGGUGAUGAAUCAUUGAGGUUUUGUGCAGACCUCCAGUGGCGAGAGUGGACGUUGCAUGACCUCUCCCUCCUACUGAUCUCGGCCAUGCAAGCCACACCCACUCCAGCUGCAUCCUUCACUCUGGCAUUCAAAUACUUUGACAAGAGUGGUGGUGUCAACCCGAUGAUGUCAUGGAUGAGGUUCCACGAGGAGUUCCUGUGUAGGAGUGACUAUGAGGAGUGUGCUAGGACCCUCAGCGAGUUCAACCUCGCCAGGGACAAGGUGCAUCAGUACAGUAUGGAGCUCUCUAUUGGUGACACUGCGUGGGUGGAUGAAGUGGCUGCUACCAUGGCAAUGCACAUGCUUGUGAGAUGCCCCACCCCCUUUGAGAGGUCACACCUCCUGCGCCUACUCUCAGAGGCACAGUUCGGACAGGACUUCAAAUGCACUGCCAGCGUUUUGAAGUAUGAAGAGCUGUAUCAAAUGACCCUGAUCCUGACAGAGGCUGGUCUGGCCUCCAAUACUGCCUUUACCUUUACUGAGGCAGGUCUGGCGUCCAACACUGCCGUCACCCUCACUGAAGCCUUUGAUACAUCAUCACACACCCAAACACUGGCACAGGUAUAUACAGUUGAAGUGGAGGUACAUGCUGAGUAUGUACUGAGCCAGCUGCUUCAGAAAGAACAGUUCAGUAUCGCUAGAAAGUAUGCCAACAUCGUGAAUUCUACAGCCAGCAAAGUAACUGUGAAAAAAGCGGAGCACAAUCUCCGUAAGCUGGUUAAGUCGAGCUACUGGCGUUACCUGUCCGCUAGACUCAGCUUCUGGAGUCAGUGUGACACCAACUUCCAGAACGAGGACGUUGACCCUCUACUAGCAGCUGACUUCUUUGAGAGAAUUGUUCACAAUGGGAUAGAGGAGCUCUCAAACUCCACCCCCUGUUCCCGUGAGGCCACACCCACUGAGCAGACCACCCCCUGUUCUGCUAUGGAGUGUGCGAGACUGUUAGCGUAUGCACUCAAGUGGAGGAAGCUCAGUCCAGUAGCCAUCACCACCGAGCAGACUAGAGAGUUUGAGAGAGAGAUAUGGCGUUCCCACAUCAAGGCCACCAUGGAGACACUGGAGACACUCUCCACCAGUAGUAGCAGUUCUUCCUCUCUUCCUUUCCUGCCCGAGCUUCAAGGAGGAGCACCAGACUACUCCCAGUACACUGACCACACCUCCCUCCUCUCAUCACUCUCGGUGACGGCCGAGGAAGAGUUCAAAGGUCGACGACGGCUAAACGAGCUUCUCCUAUCAGAGAAUGUCCCAGUUAAAGUUGAGGGGCCGAACAAAAGCGGUCUGUCUGAAAAAGAAGGACAUGCAUUUGACCUCUUACUGGGAAGAUUAUUGAACGCUGGGCUCAUCACACAGGCUAGAGAGCUGGCACAGCUAUUCAACCAUGACAGUGCAGACCUCACCAUUGUACUGAGCCUCAUCAAGUUAGCCUUGGGUCACCUGACACCAGACCAGCUCACACAAGAUGUCCUCUCUCUAGUCUCUGCCCGCUCCCCUCUAGCACGCCACCUCUCAGACUCUGCCCACCUCGAGUCCGGACCCAGUCGACCCUCAGUCGAAGUACUCAGAAUCAUGAAUGUGUUGUCUGAGAGAGCUCGCUAUAGCAACCAAUGCUGUUACGUCAUCAUCACCUGUUUCAAGCUAGCCGUGGCUCUGCGUACACCUUAUGCCUCCAUUGUCAACAGAGAUCCAUUCGACACUCUCACCAUCAUCCUCUCAAAGAGCCUUCCUGAGAAGAACAACCUCGCUGGACAGUUCAUUAAAGUGUGCAACCUGGAACCCCGGCUGGUUGCGGAAUAUUUAGCCAAUAUGGUGGCCACUGGUCUGGCAGGGAAGAGCAAUGGCCGAGACUCCCCCAAGGCCUCUGUGUACCACCCCCACACCACCAGUCGUGACUUCCAGGCCAUGAUAGCACACCUCAUCCAAGACCACACCCACCUAGGCAACAGUCUCCUCUCAAUGGCAAAGUUACUCGUCUCUGUAGACACACCAAGUCAAGGUGAGGAUGCUGACUGGUAUCAGCAGAUACAAUGAGAUGAGCUACAUCAUAGGGCUGCUGAUAGAGGCUGAUGAGUUUGAGAGGCUGGUCCACACCGCGGUGUAGAGAAAGGAUAAAGUUGUUAUAUACCAUUCCUAAACUUUGAUUCACCUGAACAUAAGUUUCAAGCAACAAGAGAGAGGCAAGAAAGAAUAACCAGAAGACACUAGACAGCGUGGAAAUGACCUAAGAACAUUGAUUACCCCUUAUAGGGACUAUUUUAAUCAUGCCACAUUUGUUCAGCUGGCUCACAUGUAGUAGAGGUCUAGCUGUAGUACUCAGUGGGUCUGGGUAUCUGCCAGUAAUUGCCCCUUGAGGUCUGCUCUAAAGCUUAGUUACUAUUUUGUGGGAAGUGGAGGUGGGUUUGUGGACUGUUUAGUAGUUGUAGAUAGUACCCACUGUCUGAGGUGUUAUUUCUGGAAUAGACUAUAUAAUUAUGCAUGUACAUGUAGAUAUGGACUAUAAUAUAUAAUUAUUUGUUGAGGCUAUUCUGUUGCCUGGCACACGUAUUGAGUACCUUUAAAGGUUAAUUAGCUCCUAAUUGAGCAACUGCAGCUAAAACCUUCUUUAUACAUCUUACGUAUAGUCCUCCCAAUGCACUAAUGCAUAGAGUCCUUACAAGUCACUUGUUUGUUCCCUGAAGAUGUUGUGUAUGUCUUUCUCUCCUCCUUAUUUUGGAAUGCCUCAGGCCAUGCAAGUCAUCAUUGUAUAGAGUCAACAGUAUAAGUUUCCAAUGCACUAGUAAUGAUUCCUAGCUACUGGCAGGUCAACAAGUGUGAUGUACCCAUAGAAACAGCUUUAUUCUUCCUCGAGGGAUGUGUAUGUUUUUAUUGGGUUAUCAGUCGAUGAUCGAGUCAACAAAAUUAUUUCCCAAUAGCUAAUGCAACUUGUACCAGUCAUGCAAUACACAAACAGUAAAUACAUCAACAGCACUUCCCUCAACAUCGAAGCUAUAGGAAUGCAAAAUCCCGUGAGUGAUUUUUCUGACAGAAUGGUGUAGCUAUGCAUGUCUGUUUCUGGCCCACUAGAACCCUGAUAGCACACUGAGUAUAAACGAAACCUAAUUGAUGGCUUUAAUUGUCGACUAAAGCCUAUUUGCGUUGAGUUCAGCCCUGGAAGUUAUGUGGUCAAUAAAAUCACAAAACUACUAGUAAAUAUACACGAUCCUCCAGAAUACAAUAGUUAGAUCGCAAAAGGUCAAAUUCUGCCAAUUUGGCUGAUUCGCAGGUUUUUCACUUGCAAAAUAUUCUAGUAAUACAGUACCAACGUAUGCAAUAAGGUUUUAUUGACCACAUGUAUCUCUUGCAUAAGCUGUGAGCUGUGACCAUUAGCUUCUAAUUUGUGAGAAGAAUUUCCCAAUUGAUGGUUACACUUUCAGCCACACAUCCUGCUCAUGUACAUAUAUAAUAGAAGUCGUCUUUUGUUGAGGUCAACAAGUUUAGGAACAGUCACACUCUGUAUAUGGUUUCUAUUGAUCUGUCUCUAUUAGCUAAUCUAUUUUGGU